UUUCCUCUCUUGUUCUUUCAAUAAUUUUCUCUCUCAAAGAAUUCCUUAGAAUUCUAUUAGUAACUUCCCUUAAUUAUGUAAAAAAAGUUUAAUAAUCAUGAUCCUAAGAAAUUUAAUAACCGGCUAGAAACCGCUCCUUAGAACAAAAAAUUAUUCCAGCAAUCCAGCGUCUCCUUCCCACUACUAACUUCCACCAAAAAUUAAUCCAUUAGAAUAAAUAUCUAUCAUGAAUUCAGUUCCAAUCAGUAUAAUUUUACAGGUAAUUAUGGUAUUAGUCGAUUCAAUUAUUUACAUUGUACCUUCUUUUGCUGCAAGCCUGAAAAUAUUUUCUUAACUUUGCGCAUAUUUGUCUACUUAUUACUCUUACCGUCUUACGUAGUAUAAUUUAAAAGUUUUAGUUUACUCUCCAGUUAUAUUCGUCCAAUUAUAACUCUCAUAAUUUUCCGAAUGGAAUCGAAUCCAGUUACGUCUAAUCGAUUAACAUUUUAAUUUUUUUUGAGAAGCAACUAAGGCCAUGAUUAUGACUGCAGAGAUGUCCGAUCUUGAUUCCAAUACCCAUGGAGAUUCAGUGGCAAUUCUAUGGUGGGCGUUGCUUUAUUAUAUCGUUCUCAUAAUUUCCAAAGAUAAAUUUGGAUUAAUGGACAGAUUACAAAUAUUUACAGUUGUCAUGGGUUCAGUUCGUCAUUUCUUUCCGAUCAUCAGUCGGUAAUCAGCAUUCUCAUCAUCCAAGUUGUGAGUGAUUUUUAAAAAAAAGUUGGACUUGAUUAUAAUCUUAGUUAGCAACCUUUUGAGUCCUUAAAUUUAGAAUUUGGUUUCUUUGGUUUUUAGCCCUUUUGAUGCAGUAGCAGUUGCUGUAAAGAAGGACAAACCUCCGUAAAGUUGGUGGUUGUGUAAACUCUAACUCUUUUAAUUUGUUAGUCCUAGCUUUGCAUCAAAAAUAAAUAAAUUAGAAUUUUGUUUGGUUUCUUACUGAAUCAAAUAGUCUUUUCGAUGUUUUUGGCUCGAUUACGAUUACAUCAGUUUUAAACUUUUGAAUAAUUUAAUUUAUGAAAUUCAGUUAAUUCGGAAUACAUUUGAUCUAUUUGAAGAGAAAUAUGAAGGUUGAAGGACAUUGGGGGAGUAUAGGUACAACAUAGCAUCAUUUUGUUCUUUAUAUUUUAUUUUUAUUUUUAUUUUUGGUAAGUAAGAGAGAAGUAUUAUUCAUACCAAAUGAUUACAGUCUAAGGAUCAAACAAGAAGCAAACUUCCUCUCAAGAUCCCACCCAAACUACAACCAGGAGGCACAAAACAAACCAAUGGAAGCCGCAAAACAACCAAAAAAAGACUAAUUGUACAGCAAAAAGCUAUCUUAGGGAGACUACAACUUAUCAAACCAUCAUUUUAUCUAUGGUAUUUGAGUAAUGAUAUUGAAAUUUAGUGUCUUAAUGUUGCGUGUCGGAGCAAUUGACGAAGAAGUUACUAGGUUGUUUGAGAAACGUAUUUUAGGCUGCAUCGGUUAUACAUAUACUUCGUAUAUAAAUCCAUUUUUAAAAAACUUAACCAUCUCUUCUUUCUAUUUCUUCUCUUUCUAGGUGUUGAACUAUAAUUGACUUAUUAAUUUUAGCAACUAUUCUUCGCUUAGUAGAGCUAAUUUUCAUGCACAAUAUACAUUAAAAGAUCACAAGAUGAUAUAAAUUUGAAAGCGAAAAAAUCACAUCAAAACUAAAUUCCAUGUAUACUUAAAAAAAUCACAUGGUAUACAUUUGAUAAUUCGAUGGUUGGUGGUGUGAACGGUUUCAAACUUUCAAUUGACCGAAGAGAAUGCAAGCUGGAUUUUAGUAAUCAUAGGUUUCUAGCACAAUAUUCGUAUUCUAUACUUUAAAAAGUCUUACGGGGUACUAUUAAUUGUACGUAGUUUAAGGGGGUUUUUAUUCGACGUCCUAUUCCGCUAAAAACGUUCUCAUUUUAAUGGUGAAAUUACACUACUACCCCUAUACACAUUUCCCUCCUCCCCUUCCCCUCUCACCUCAGCCCUUCCUUCCCUGCCGUCAAUCACCACCACAACCACAAACCGCACCACACCUUAACCACCACCACUGCACACACUGCACCAGCCGUUGAUGGGUCCCAAGAGAACACCUCCACGCCGCUGCCGUUGAUGGGUCCCACGAGAACACCACCGCGCCGCUGCCGCUGCUGGAUCCCAGGAGAACACCACCGCACGCUGUCGUUGCUGGGUUACAGGAGAUGCAAAGGCUGAGAUGCCGCCAGAGGGGGACAAUCGACCCGCCGACCAACCUCCGCCUGCGUCGCGGCUGGGCUGGGCUUGGUAUGAUUUCGAUUUUUUUAAUAUAAAAAUUAAAACCCAUGUGCCGCCCGGAAUUGGCGAUGGUGGCCAUGGUGGUGCCGCCUUGAAAAAGCGUUGGCGACCAUGGUUCAACCGCAGAUCUAGGGCGGUUGAACCAUGGCCGGCACCGCUAUUCCAGGGCGGCACCACCAUGGUAACUUCCGCCAAUUCCGCCAAAGAGUCCUGUCGCCGUCGUCCCUACCUCCGCCUGCACCGCGGCUUAGAGUGGUAACGGUUUUAAUUUUUUUUUGUUUUUUGAACUUGAC